rnacentral:rRNA from 1 species
UGGGGAAUUUUGCGCAAUGGGCGAAAGCCUGACGCAGCAACGCCGCGUGGGUGAUGAAGGUCUUCGGAUCGUAAAACCCUGUCGUCAGGGACGAAGGUAGGGGUGUUAACAGCAUCCUUGCUUGACGGUACCUGGAGAGGAAGCCCCGGCUAACUCUGUGCCAGCAGCCGCGGUAAUACAGAGGGGGCAAGCGUUAUUCGGAAUUAUUGGGCGUAAAGGGCGCGUAGGCGGUUUUUUAAGUCAGAUGUGUAAUCCCCGAGCUCAACUUGGGAACUGCAUCUGAGACUGGAAGGCUAGAGUACUGGAGAGGGUGGUAGAAUUCCACGUGUAGCGGUGAAAUGCGUAGAGAUGUGGAGGAAUACCAGUGGCGAAGGCGGCCACCUGGACAGUAACUGACGCUGAGGCGCGAAAGUGUGGGUAGCAAACAGG